ACUCUGGCAAGCGGGUCUCCUGGGGAGGAAAGAUGCUGAGCCUAUCAGUCAUCCUCAGCUAAGGGGCCCGGGGAGCCAGAGG
ensembl:miRNA Mir6366 microRNA 6366